AGGGACAAAAAAGGACAUUUUAUUUUGUUAAAAAAAAAAAAACCACAAUGGAUUGAGGCUAUGUAAUACUAAUAAUGAGUAUAUGUUUACCUAAAAUACAGCCUCAAAAUAUAUAACAACUGAAAGAACUAUGGAGAAAUACAGAUAACACUAGAACUACAGUUGAAAAUUUUAACACAUCUCACAUAAGCAUGACUAGGUCAGCCAAACAACAAGCAUAAGCCACAGUAUAUAUGAAACACUCCACCCAACAAAGAGAAAAUGUGUGAUUUUUUUGAGCACAUAUGAAAUGUUCACAAAAUCAACCACAUAUUAAAGCACAAAUGAAACCUCUCUGAAUUAAAAAAAAUCAAUAUCAUAUGAAUUAUUCUCUAACUGUAAUGUAAUAAAUUAAAUCAGGAACAAAGGGAGAACUUCUAAAAAUUCCCACAUCUCUGAAAAGAGAAGAAAAUUACAAAUAAAAUAUAGACCAAAAAUGAGAAAAUAUGAGUUCCCAUUGUGGCGCAGUGGAAAUGAACCCAGCUAGUAUCCUUGAGGAUGUGCGUUCAAUCUCUGGCCUCACUCAGUGGGUCAAGGAUCUGGCAUUGCUGUGAGCUGUGGCAUAGGCCAGCAGCUAUAGAUCUAAUUUAACCUUAGCCCGGGAAUUUUCAUAUGCCGUUGUUGCAGCCCUAAAAAGGAAAAAAAGAGUGAGAGAGAGACAAUAACUACAGAUAUAGGAAGUAUUUCCAAAUAAAUGAAUAUUGUGAACAGUUGUCUAACAAAUUUGAAAACCUGGACACAAUAGAUACGUUUCUGGCAAACUAUAAAAUCAAAGCAAGAGGAAAUGGAAGACUUAAAUAGAUCAAUAACCAUUAAAGAAGCUAAAAUAGUAUCGAAUAUGUACUUUCCCCAAAACCUCAAGCCAGAAUCAUUUUACAAGUGAGUUCAACCAAACUUAAGGAACAGAAGAUCUCAGUGAUAGACAAGCUGUUCCAAAAAGUAAGAAAAGCGAAAAAGCUGCCCUCCUCAUUUUACACAGUGAGAAUAUCGGUUCCCAAACUGGAUACGGACAGGACGGAAAAAGGAAAUCACAGAGCCAUGUCACUUAUGGUUAGAGACACAAAGAUUCUAAAUCUAGUGUUUGGUCAUCAAACCCAACAGUUGCAUUUUAAAACGUAUUUUAGGGAGUUCCCAAUGUGGCCCAGCAGAAAUGAACCUGACUAGUAUCUGAUGCUGGCCUUGCUCAGUGGGUUAAGAUCCAGUGUUGCCAUGAGCUGUGGAGUAGUUUGCAGACAUGGCUUGGACGUGGCGUUGCUGUGGCUGUGGUGUAGGCCGGCAACUAUACCUCUGAUUGGACCCCUAGCCUGGAACCUCCAUAUGCUGCAGGUGCAGCCCUAAAAAGCCAAAAAAAAANAUUGAAUACGUAUUUUAAUUAAUUUUUUGUUGUUGUUAAUAGCCUAAGGGGAAGGCAUUCCUGCAGUGGCACAUGGGUUAAUGAUCCAGCUUGUCUCUGUGAAGGCUCCAGUUCCAUGUUGGGCCUGGUACAGUGGUUUAAGGAUCUGGUAUUGCUGCUGCUGUGGUGUGGGUUGAAGUUCUGGCUCAGAUUUGAUCCCUGGCCUGGGGACUUCCAUAUGCUGCGAGUGUGGUGCGGGGUCAGGGAGAGUAGCCUGGCGGAAAGUCACACGAUUAUCUCAGUAUACAUGGAAAUGGCAUUUAUUGAUGUUUGUGCAUGAUAAGGACUCCACGGAAAGAAAUAAUAGAUGGGAACUUCCUCACCCUGAUAAAGGCAGGACACCCAGACCCAGAGGCCACCGCCCUUUAUACACACGUUAUAUACACUCGCUUUAAGAUCAGAAGUCGGAGUUCCCGUCGUGGCUCAGUGGUUAGCAAACCCAACUAGCAUCCACAAGGACGUGGGUUCAAUCCUUGACCUCACUCAGUGGGUGAAGGAUCCAGUGUUGCCGUGAGCUGUUGCAGACGCAGCUCAGAUCCCACAUUGCUGUGGCUCUGGUGUAGGCCAGCAGCUGUAGCUCCGAUUGGACCCCUAGCCUGGGAACCUCCAUAUGCCACAGAAUACGGGCUAAAAGACAAAAAGACCCAAAAAAAAAAAAAAAAAAAAAAAGAUCAGAAGUCAGUGCAGGAUGCCUGCCAAGCAUGUCUGCUCACAUAGCAGUGAAGAUGGCUGUGGGGAAACAGCUCGUUACACAUGGCAAAGCAAAGCUGAGUCCCUACCUGCCCAGGCUAAGGGGCACUUUGCACUUAAAGUUGACACUGGUUUACUAAGGUGAACCUAGACACAGAAGAUGAAGCUGAGAACUAACAGGAACAGUGGGAGAAUGCAGCUGUGAGCUGAAGCUGCAGAAUUCUUAAACAGGUCAUGAAACACCAACCAGGAGGUAGGAAAUGGAGGCAUUCAGCUUUGUCACAAGGAAGCACUUCUGUUCCAUAAAGACACAUAGUCAAAGAUUCAAGUGACAGAUGGGGAGUAUCUGAGACCCAACAGGACGCAAGGAGCUCCUACAAAUUAGCUCAGAGACAGUUCCCGGCGGGGGGCUCAGUGGGUUAAGGAUCCGGCGUUGUCACUGCUAUGGCCUGGGGUUCAAUCCCCAGCCUGGGAAGCUGCGUGUGCCACAAGGAUAUGAUGGGAUGACUCAUAGCAGAGAAAGCCAAAUAGUUCUCAAGGACACAGAGGUGCUUAACUUCAUUUGUAAUCAGAAAAGCCACACUCAAACAAUCACCCCAUCUCAGGCCAAAAUUAGGAAGUCAGACAACCCCCUGCACUGGCAAUGAUGCAGGGGCCAGGAAGACCCGGGCGUGGAGUGGGAGGAAAGCAGGUAUAGCCGGUCUGGAGAGACAUCCAGGAGUGUUUGGUGGAGGCUGAGGGUGCAGCAAGGCCAUUCCCUCUCGCAGACCCUUGAGAAAUGAGAAAUGUGAAGGUCCCUGGAGAGCACAGGCAGGGGCAUCGUUGGGAUCCAUCUCCAGGGCCAUUCAAGGAAAGCAGCAGUGGACGCGGCCAAAGAAGUACUGGCAAGCCUUGGGAGCAGCAAAUCUGAGGUACAGAAGGCAGUGUGGACAUGUUUUAAAACAUCAAGGUGACUAGAAAAAUCUAUAGGACUUUGACACGGAACAACUCUAAAUAUUUAAUAAGGAUUCAUAACUAUCCAAAGACACUUAUCAAACA
rnacentral:lncRNA from 1 species